rnacentral:rRNA from 1 species
GAUAAACGCUGGCGGCGUGCCUAAUACAUGCAAGUCGAGCGAACGGACGAGAAGCUUGCUUCUCUGAUGUUAGCGGCGGACGGGUGAGUAACACGUGGAUAACCUACCUAUAAGACUGGGAUAACUUCGGGAAACCGGAGCUAAUACCGGAUAAUAUUUUGAACCGCAUGGUUCAAAAGUGAAAGACGGUCUUGCUGUCACUUAUAGAUGGAUCCGCGCUGCAUUAGCUAGUUGGUAAGGUAACGGCUUACCAAGGCAACGAUGCAUAGCCGACCUGAGAGGGUGAUCGGCCACACUGGAACUGAGACACGGUCCAGACUCCUACGGGAGGCAGCAGUAGGGAAUCUUCCGCAAUGGGCGAAAGCCUGACGGAGCAACGCCGCGUGAGUGAUGAAGGUCUUCGGAUCGUAAAACUCUGUUAUUAGGGAAGAACAUAUGUGUAAGUAACUGUGCACAUCUUGACGGUACCUAAUCAGAAAGCCACGGCUAACUACGUGCCAGCAGCCGCGGUAAUACGUAGGUGGCAAGCGUUAUCCGGAAUUAUUGGGCGUAAAGCGCGCGUAGGCGGUUUUUUAAGUCUGAUGUGAAAGCCCACGGCUCAACCGUGGAGGGUCAUUGGAAACUGGAAAACUUGAGUGCAGAAGAGGAAAGUGGAAUUCCAUGUGUAGCGGUGAAAUGCGCAGAGAUAUGGAGGAACACCAGUGGCGAAGGCGACUUUCUGGUCUGUAACUGACGCUGAUGUGCGAAAGCGUGGGGAUCAAACAGGAUUAGAUACCCUGGUAGUCCACGCCGUAGACGAUGAGUGCUAAGUGUUAGGGGGUUUCCGCCCCUUAGUGCUGCAGCUAACGCAUUAAGCACUCCGCCUGGGGAGUACGACCGCAAGGUUGAAACUCAAAGGAAUUGACGGGGACCCGCACAAGCGGUGGAGCAUGUGGUUUAAUUCGAAGCAACGCGAAGAACCUUACCAAAUCUUGACAUCCUUUGACAACUCUAGAGAUAGAGCCUUCCCCUUCGGAGGACAAAGUGACAGGUGGUGCAUGGUUGUCGUCAGCUCGUGUCGUGAGAUGUUGGGUUAAGUCCCGCAACGAGCGCAACCCUUAAGCUUAGUUGCCAUCAUUAAGUUGGGCACUCUAAGUUGACUGCCGGUGACAAACCGGAGGAAGGUGGGGAUGACGUCAAAUCAUCAUGCCCCUUAUGAUUUGGGCUACACACGUGCUACAAUGGACAAUACAAAGGGCAGCGAAACCGCGAGGUCAAGCAAAUCCCAUAAAGUUGUUCUCAGUUCGGAUUGUAGUCUGCAACUCGACUACAUGAAGCUGGAAUCGCUAGUAAUCGUAGAUCAGCAUGCUACGGUGAAUACGUUCCCGGGUCU